GAUGCAGCUGAUAUUCUAUUUGUCUUACAUCAUUUACCUUUUCUACACUCCCUAAGCUGAUAUUCUAGCUGGAAGGCAAGCAGAUGCCCCUCAGGAAGCUCUUCAAGUGCUUGACAUUGUACUACGUGAAUUGCCUACCGCGAGGUAUUCUCCUGUUGGUAGGUCAUUUUACUCUCCCAACUUAGGGAGACGUCAAAAACUUGGUGAGGGAUUGGAAAGUUGGCGUGGUUUUUACCAAAGCAUAAGGCCGACACAGAUGGACCUUUCACUGAAUAUUGAUAUGUCCUCUACUGCAUUUAUCGAGCCUCUCCCUGUGAUCGAUUUUGUUGCUCAGCUUCUUAACAGAGAUAUCUCAGUUAGACCAUUAUCUGAUUCUGAUCGCGUGAAGAUUAAAAAAGCCCUAAGAGGUGUGAAGGUUGAGGUGACUCAAAGGGGAAACAUGCGCAGAAAAUAUCGCAUUUCUGGCCUCACCUCACAAGCAACAAGAGAGCUAUU